rnacentral:rRNA from 1 species
GAUGAACGCUGGCGGCGUGCCUAAUACAUGCAAGUCGAGCGAACGGACGAGAAGCUUGCUUCUCUGAUGUUAGCGGCGGACGGGUGAGUAACACGUGGAUAACCUACCUAUAAGACUGGGAUAACUUCGGGAAACCGGAGCUAAUACCGGAUAAUAUUUUGAACCGCAUGGUUCAAAAGUGAAAGACGGUCUUGCUGUCACUCAUAGAUGGAUCCGCGCUGCAUUAGCUAGUUGGUAAGGUAACGGCUUACCAAGGCAACGAUGCAUAGCCGACCUGAGAGGGUGAUCGGCCACACUGGAACUGAGACACGGUCCAGACUCCUACGGGAGGCAGCAGUAGGGAAUCUUCCGCAAUGGGCGAAAGCCUGACGGAGCAACGCCGCGUGAGUGAUGAAGGUCUUCGGAUCGUAAAACUCUGUUAUUAGGGAAGAACAUAUGUGUAAGUAACUGUGCACAUCUUGACGGUACCUAAUCAGAAAGCCACGGCUAACUACGUGCCAGCAGCCGCGGUAAUACGUAGGUGGCAAGCGUUAUCCGGAAUUAUUGGGCGUAAAGCGCGCGUAGGCGGUUUUUUAAGUCUGAUGUGAAAGCCCACGGCUCAACCGUGGAGGGUCAUUGGAAACUGGAAAACUUGAGUGCAGAAGAGGAAAGUGGAAUUCCAUGUGUAGCGGUGAAAUGCGCAGAGAUAUGGAGGAACACCAGUGGCGAAGGCGACUUUCUGGUCUGUAACUGACGCUGAUGUGCGAAAGCGUGGGGAUCAAACAGGAUUAGAUACCCUGGUAGUCCACGCCGUAAACGAUGAGUGCUAAGUGUUAGGGGGUUUCCGCCCCUUAGUGCUGCAGCUAACGCAUUAAGCACUCCGCCUGGGGAGUACGACCGCAAGGUUGAAACUCAAAGGAAUUGACGGGGACCCGCACAAGCGGUGGAGCAUGUGGUUUAAUUCGAAGCAACGCGAAGAACCUUACCAAAUCUUGACAUCCUUUGACAACUCUAGAGAUAGAGCCUUCCCCUUCGGGGGACAAAGUGACAGGUGGUGCAUGGUUGUCGUCAGCUCGUGUCGUGAGAUGUUGGGUUAAGUCCCGCAACGAGCGCAACCCUUAAGCUUAGUUGCCAUCAUUAAGUUGGGCACUCUAAGUUGACUGCCGGUGACAAACCGGAGGAAGGUGGGGAUGACGUCAAAUCAUCAUGCCCCUUAUGAUUUGGGCUACACACGUGCUACAAUGGACAAUACAAAGGGCAGCGAAACCGCGAGGUCAAGCAAAUCCCAUAAAGUUGUUCUCAGUUCGGAUUGUAGUCUGCAACUCGACUACAUGAAGCUGGAAUCGCUAGUAAUCGUAGAUCAGCAUGCUACGGUGAAUACGUUCCCGGGUCU